rnacentral:rRNA from 1 species
CGUGAGACAGUUCGGUCCCUAUCCGUCGUGGGCGUAGGAAAUUUGAGAUGAGCUGUCCUUAGUACGAGAGGACCGGGAUGGACAUACCUCUGGUGUACCAGUUGUCGUGCCAACGGCAUAGCUGGGUAGCUAUGUGUGGACGGGAUAAGUGCUGAAAGCAUCUAAGCAUGAAGCCCCCCUCAAGAUGAGAUUUCCCAACUUCGGUUAUAAGAUCCCUCAAAGAUGAUGAGGUUAAUAGGUUCGAGGUGGAAGCAUGGUGACAUGUGGAGCUGACGAAUACUAAUCGAUCGAAGACUUAAUCAA